GAUGAAGAACGCAGCGAAAUGCGAUAAGUAAUGUGAAUUGCAGAAUUCCGUGAAUCAUCGAAUCUUUGAACGCACAUUGCGCCCCCUGGCAUUCCGGGGGGCAUGCCUGUCCGAGCGUCAUUUCUGCCCUCAAGCACGGCUUGUGUGUUGGGUGUGGUCCCCCCGGGGACCUGCCCGAAAGGCAGCGGCGACGUCCGUCUGGUCCUCGAGCGUAUGGGGCUCUGUCACUCGCUCGGGAAGGACCUGCGGGGGUUGGUCACCACUAUAUUUUACCACGGUUGACCUCGGAUCAGGUAGGAGUUACCCGCUGAACUUAAGCAUAUCAUAAGCGGAGGA
rnacentral:misc_RNA from 1 species